UCGUGCUAGACGGAGAGUUAGCGGUGCUUUGUAACCUGCAAUCCGCUGUAGCAGGGUUGAAUUCCCCACCGAGGCACCAGGGUUUGAGGUCAGCCAGAGGUAAAGUGACGUUGAGAGUUGGACCCUUCGCAAUAGAACCUUAUGAACCCCGUCAGGUCAGGAAUGAAGCAGCGGUAAGUAAGAUCUUCUAUGUGCCGGAGGAUUAUCUGAUUUGAGUUGCCUAUCUAUGUAACGCUUGGAAACUGGUUGUCGAAGUGGGGUGCACGA
rnacentral:SRP_RNA from 1 species